AAGUGUCAGAGUUUCUUGUAAAUAUAACAACAACAAUAAUGCAUGAAAUCGUUAUUUUUCAUUUCACAAAUUGAAUGACAGUUCACGGGUAACAAUAAAAUAUACAUGCUAGCUUCAUAGUUGCGGUUUUAAUUUUAACAUUGAGUAUAAACUUAUCUAGGACUAUGAAUAAAAAAUCAUAAAUCCAAGUACGGUACCCUUUUGAAAUUGUUCAAUCAUGACAUGUUUCGGCUAUAUCAUAAUGCCAUUAUAUCAAGUCGACUUCUAGGACUUUAUUAAUGAGUUUUCCUCAUCAAUAUUCUUGUAAUUUUUCAUUUAAUUUUCCUUCCAGAUUGACUUUUGUAUCUUUUGGAAUCUUCGAGUUAUCAAUGGAAGCGGUUAAAGAAAAAUAUUUACUCCUAUAGUAAACAUUUGAGCAAUCUUAGUUACUAUUUGAAAUGUUUUGCUGCUUUUUGAUGACACAAUCCAGCUCACUUUUUCUGCUAUCAAAAAGAACUAAUAGCAGCAGAUUUAUCGUUCUUUUUAAUAGCAAAAAGUGAUUUAAUAAAUAUAAUGAGCAAUUCGUGAUGAAAAACGACAUUGAAGAAUUACAAUUCAACUGAUUAUUGUAGCGCUUGCAUGCAGAAUAUUCAGCGGAUGUCAUGCGCAUGCUCAGACCGGCGAGUUCUCAUCUGGAAACAAUUUUCGGCAUUCAGUUGUCAGUUCUGCGCUAAAUGUGAAAAGUGCCGACGGGUGUUGAUGAUUGUGAUAAGAUAAGAGUGUGAUUUGAGCCGAUAUUAUUGUGAAAUUCUUAUCAGGUUAUAUAAAAAUGGCGUAGAAAGUGAAUAAUUGUUUCAAGUGGCGUCUAUCAUCAAGGGAACAAGUGCAUCCUUCCCUCAAGAUGAGCGAGAAUUUUUGUGAGUUUUGUACAAAGUACGGUAACCUAGCUAGUAGAAUAAAUUUCAUUCUAAUAUUAAUUUUGAGCUGUUUUAUCCAUUUUUCGUUAUUAUUCUACAUGACUGGCAUGAUAAAAACACUUUUAAACUCAUGAUUAACUGAUUACUGACUACUAGUGAAACAAAAACAAUUUUAACACAAAAAUCACAUUAAAAAUACAGUACCAAUAGCGUUUAGCCUAUACAAAUAUUUUUAAUACUGAAUAUAGUAGUUUGAAGCUUCGAAGAACAUGUAAAUGUAAUUAUUUUUCUUUUACUACAAUGGAAUAGAUUCAUUCACAUGAUUUA